rnacentral:rRNA from 1 species
UACGUAGGUGGCAAGCGUUGUCCGGAUUUACUGGGCGUAAAGAGCGCGCAGGCGGUCGGAUAAGUCGAAUGUGAAAGCCCCUGGCUCAACCAGGGAGGGUCAUUCGAUACUGUUCGACUCGAAGGCAGGAGAGGGAAGUGGAAUUCCGGGUGUAGUGGUGAAAUGCGUAGAUAUCUGGAGGAAUACCGGUGGCGAAGGCGGCAUCCUGGACCAUAACUGACGCUGAGGCGCGAAAGCUAGGGGAGCAAACGGG